GGUUGCUUAAAACAGCAGGACAGUGGCCAUGGAAGUCGAAACCGGCUAAGGAGUGUGUAACAACUCACCUGCCGAAGCAACU
rnacentral:rRNA from 1 species